rnacentral:misc_RNA from 1 species
GGGWGAAGUCGUAACAAGGAANUCGCNUUGNAAGGCGGCCUUUNUCNUCUGNUGCCNNCNAUGNAUCCACCAGAUGCGCUUGAUCGCUUGACCAUAUAACCUCAAACAUUCUUUCGAAUAUCUUCGGCCAUAGGUUACACAACCUAUAACUGACAAAUUCGCCGUCAAGCACCAUAGGCAUUGAGAUGCUCACGUGGGACCUUCGUCCACAUUCACAUGUGCUUACAGUGUUCAACUACAAACCUAAUUGUUAAAGAACUGACCCGAAGACUUUUGUCAUCAAGCUUGGGAAAGAGACCUCUUUNGGGGACUCUUUUCCAAACCUCNUAGUUGGUGGAGCCAGACGGGGAUCGAACCGACNACCUCCUGCUUGCAAAGAAGGCGCUCUUCCAACUGGAGCUAUGGCCCCGNCGACUCUAUAUGGNGGGGUNUGGGCUGGGAUUUGAACCCAGCGACCCCCCCGCUUAUUAAGCNUGUGCUCUGACCAACUGAGCUUNCAGACCCCUAGCUUGGGCGAAUCCCGCUGCGCGAGAUUCAAAUNGGGCAGUGACUUGU